CUACGUGCCAGCAGCCGCGGUAAUACGUAGGUGGCAAGCGUUGUCCGGAAUUAUUGGGCGUAAAGCGCGCGCAGGCGGAUUGGUCAGUCUGUCUUAAAAGUUCGGGGCUUAACCCCGUGAUGGGAUGGAAACUGCCAAUCUAGAGUAUCGGAGAGGAAAGUGGAAUUCCUAGUGUAGCGGUGAAAUGCGUAGAUAUUAGGAAGAACACCAGUGGCGAAGGCGACUUUCUGGACGAAAACUGACGCUGAGGCGCGAAAGCCAGGGGAGCGAACGGGAUUAGAUACCCCGGUAGUCCUGGCCGUAAACGAUGGGUACUAGGUGUAGGAGGUAUUGACCCCUUCUGUGCCGGAGUUAACGCAAUAAGUACCCCGCCUGGGGAGUACGACCGCAAGGUUGAAACUCAAAGGAAUUGACGGGGGCCCGCACAAGCGGUGGAGUAUGUGGUUUAAUUCGACGCAACGCGAAGAACCUUACCAGGUCU
rnacentral:rRNA from 1 species